rnacentral:rRNA from 1 species
UACGUAGGGCGCGAGCGUUGUCCGGAUUUAUUGGGCGUAAAGAGCUCGUAGGCGGCUUGUCGCGUCGACUGUGAAAACCCGAGGCUCAACUUCGGGCUUGCAGUCGAUACGGGCAGGCUAGAGUUCGGUAGGGGAGACUGGAAUUCCUGGUGUAGCGGUGAAAUGCGCAGAUAUCAGGAGGAACACCGAUGGCGAAGGCAGGUCUCUGGGCCGAUACUGACGCUGAGGAGCGAAAGCGUGGGGAGCGAACAGG